UCGAGCGGAUGACGGGAGCUUGCUCCUUGAUUCAGCGGCGGACGGGUGAGUAAUGCCUAGGAAUCUGCCUGGUAGUGGGGGACAACGUUUCGAAAGGAACGCUAAUACCGCAUACGUCCUACGGGAGAAAGCAGGGGACCUUCGGGCCUUGCGCUAUCAGAUGAGCCUAGGUCGGAUUAGCUAGUUGGUGGGGUAAUGGCUCACCAAGGCGACGAUCCGUAACUGGUCUGAGAGGAUGAUCAGUCACACUGGAACUGAGACACGGUCCAGACUCCUACGGGAGGCAGCAGUGGGGAAUAUUGGACAAUGGGCGAAAGCCUGAUCCAGCCAUGCCGCGUGUGUGAAGAAGGUCUUCGGAUUGUAAAGCACUUUAAGUUGGGAGGAAGGGCAGUAAGCGAAUACCUUGCUGUUUUGACGUUACCGACAGAAUAAGCACCGGCUAACUCUGUGCCAG
rnacentral:rRNA from 1 species